AUUGAACGCUGGCGGCAUGCUUUACACAUGCAAGUCGGACGAGUGGCGAACGGGUGAGUAACGCGUCGGAACGUUCCGAGUCAUGGGGGAUAACUGGUCGGAAGCACAGCUUAUACCGCAUACUAUACGGGCGGCCCAUGUGUGAUUAGCUGGUUGGCGGGGUAAAGGCCCACCAAGGCGACGAUCACUAGCGGGUCUGAGAGGAUGAUCCGCCACACUGGGACUGAGACACGGCCCAGACUCCUACGGGAGGCAGCAGUGGGGAAUCUUCGGCAAUGGGCGAAAGUCUGACGCAGCCACGCCGCGUGAGUGAAGAAGGUUUUCGGGUUGUAAAGCACUUUUGGCAGGGAAGCGGUAUCCGCCGAGAAAGCCACGGCUAACUACGUGCCAGCCGCCGCGGUAAUUC
rnacentral:rRNA from 1 species